rnacentral:rRNA from 1 species
GGAGUCUGGGCCGUGUCUCAGUCCCAAUGUGGCCGGUCAUCCUCUCAGAUCGGCUACCGAUCGUCGCCAUGGUGAGCCGUUACCUCACCAUCUAGCUAAUCAGACGCGAGCCCAUCUUUGAGUGAUAAAUCUUUGAUAUACCUAAGAUGCCUUAAGUAUAUGUCAUGAGGUAUUACCAUCCGUUUCCAGAAGCUAUCCCUCUCUCAAAGGUAGGUUGCUCACGUGUUACUCACCCGUCCGCCACUAAGAAUACUCAGUAAACCAAAUAUUCUCCGUUCGACUUGCAUGUGUUAAGCGUGCCGCCAGCGUUCGUCCUCGAGCCACUGAUCAAACUACU